CACCGGCGGCUCGAGUGGUGGCCACUUUUAUUGGGCCUAAAGCGUCCGUAGCCGGCUUGGCAAGUCCCCUGGGAAAUCUGGCGGCUUAACCGUCAGGCGUCCAGAGGAUACUGCCAGGCUUGGGACCGGGAGAGGUGAGAGGUACCUCAGGGGUAGGGGUGAAAUCUUGUGAUCCCUGAGGGACCACCAGUGGCGAAGGCGUCUCACUAGAACGGGUCCGACGGUCAGGGACGAAAGCUGGGGGCACGAACCGG
rnacentral:rRNA from 1 species